GGUACACGAGCGGCGAACGGGUGAGUAACACGUGGGUGAUCUGCCUUGCACUCUGGGAUAAGCCUGGGAAACUGGGUCUAAUACCGGAUAUGACCUGUCUCUGCAUGGGGGUUGGUGGAAAGAUUUAUCGGUGCGAGAUGGGCCCGCGGCCUAUCAGCUUGUUGGUGGGGUAAUGGCCUACCAAGGCGACGACGGGUAGCCGGCCUGAGAGGGCGACCGGCCACACUGGGACUGAGACACGGCCCAGACUCCUACGGGAGGCAGCAGUGGGGAAUAUUGCACAAUGGGCGGAAGCCUGAUGCAGCGACGCCGCGUGAGGGAUGACGGCCUUCGGGUUGUAAACCUCUUUCGACAGGGACGAAGCGCAAGUGACGGUACCUGUAGAAGAAGCACCGGCCAACUACGUGCCAGCAGCCGCGGUAAUACGUAGGGUGCGAGCGUUGUCCGGAAUUACUGGGCGUAAAGAGCUUGUAGGCGGUUCGUCGCGUCGAUUGUGAAAACUUGCAGCUCAACUGCAAGCUUGCAGUCGAUACGGGCGGACUAGAGUACUUCAGGGGAGACUGGAAUUCCUGGUGUAGCGGUGAAAUGCGCAGAUAUCAGGAGGAACACCGGUGGCGAAGGCGGGUCUCUGGGAAGUAACUGACGCUGAGAAGCGAAAGCGUGGGUAGCGAACAGGAUUAGAUACCCUGGUAGUCC
rnacentral:rRNA from 1 species